UACGGAGGGUGCAAGCGUUAUCCGGAUUCACUGGGUUUAAAGGGCGCGUAGGUGGGUUGGUAAGUCAGUGGUGAAAUCUCCAGGCUUAACUUGGAAACUGCCAUUGAUACUAUCAAUCUUGAAUACCGUGGAGGUCAGCGGAAUAUGUCAUGUAGCGGUGAAAUGCUUAGAUAUGACAUAGAACACCAAUUGCGAAGGCAGCUGGCUAGACGAAUAUUGACACUGAUGCACGAAAGCGUGGGGAUCAAACAGG
rnacentral:rRNA from 1 species